AGUGCAGGUUUAACAUAGAAGCAGAUUCCUGUGCUCACAGUUUAGGAAACCCCUGUGCUUUGGAGGAAAGGAGGAGACAACUGACAAUAGACGUAGCUCACCCUGCCGGAGCUCGCAGGUCCCGAUGGGCAGAACCUUGAGGACACUUGCUGGACUUUUCUUCCUGUUCUUGUGGCUGCAGCUGCACUGUGUGAGUGGAGGAGAGAUGGUGGAGCAGAGUCCUUCUUUCCUGAGUGUCCAGGAGGGAGACGGCUGUGUUAUCAACUGCACUUACACAGACAGUACCUCCGACUACUUCUAUUGGUAUAAGCAAGAACCUGGAGCAGGCCUCCAGAUUCUUAUAAGUAUUUUCUCAAGUAUGGACAUGAAAGAAGAUCAGAGAUUCACUGUGUUCCUGAAUAAGAAGGACAAACUUCUCUCCCUGCACAUUAGAGCUGCUCAUCCUGCAGACUCAGCCACCUACUUCUGUGCACAGGAGCACAGUGCUCCCCAGACACCUGCAGCCUCUACCCAAACCUGCAGUGAGGGCUGAAGAGAUGCUAAUUUAUUUUG